rnacentral:rRNA from 1 species
GAUGAACGCUGGCGGCGUGCCUAAUACAUGCAAGUCGAGCGAACGGACGAGAAGCUUGCUUCUCUGAUGUUAGCGGCGGACGGGUGAGUAACACGUGGAUAACCUACCUAUAAGACUGGGAUAACUUCGGGAAACCGGAGCUAAUACCGGAUGAUAUUUUGAACCGCAUGGUUCAAAAGUGAAAGACGGUCUUGCUGUCACUUAUAGAUGGAUCCGCGCUGCAUUAGCUAGUUGGUAAGGUAACGGCUUACCAAGGCAACGAUGCAUAGCCGACCUGAGAGGGUGAUCGGCCACACUGGAACUGAGACACGGUCCAGACUCCUACGGGAGGCAGCAGUGGGGAAUCUUCCGCAAUGGGCGAAAGCCUGACGGAGCAACGCCGCGUGAGUGAUGAAGGUCUUCGGAUCGUAAAACUCUGUUAUUAGGGAAGAACAUAUGUGUAAGUAACUGUGCACAUCUUGACGGUACCUAAUCAGAAAGCCACGGCUAACUACGU